rnacentral:rRNA from 1 species
GGGGGGGGGGGGGGGGGGGGGGGGGGGGGGCGGGGCGGGGGGUGGGGCCCGGCGUGCGGGGGGGAUUAGGGGCGAACGGGUGAGUGACACGGGAGUAACCUGCCCUUGAGUCUGGGAUAAGCCGGGGGAACGGGGGGUAAUACGGGGUAGGAGCGUCCACCGCAUGGUGGGGGUUGGAAAGAUUUAUCGGUUUUGGGGGGACUCGCGGCCUAUCAGCUUGUUGGUGAGGUAAUGGCUCACCAAGGCGACGACGGGUAGCAGGCCUGAGAGGGUGACCGGUCACACUGGGACUGAGACACGGCCCAGACUCCUACGGGAGGCAGCAGUGGGGAAUAUUGCACAAUGGGCGCAAGCCUGAUGCAGCGACGCCGCGUGAGGGAUGACGGCCUUCGGGUUGUAAACCUCUUUCAGUAGGGAAGAAGCGAAAGUGACGGUACCUGCAGAAGAAGCACCGGCUAACUACGUG